rnacentral:lncRNA from 1 species
AUGAUUAUUAAUAUUUGUGGUGAUUAUUUUGUAACAUGGUAACAGUUUCUAUGCAGAUUCAACACCAACUUUCUCUAUAAAUGCUACGACAAUAGAGCCAAAACCAACUCUGGCUACAGAAUCCAGUUCUUGUGAGACCACAAUAAACCCUACAACCGAAACUACUCAUCCUUCACAACCGCUCAAUGUCACAUGGAACACGACAGGGGUUCUCAAAGUUUCAACUUCUGGUGAAAAUGCUGUCCAUAGAACACCAAGAACAAAAACAUUGCUCAUCCUGACACUGGCAGCCACAAGCGGAGGGAUUUUCCUGACCGGACUCAUGGGCAUCUGUCUAUGCUGCAUCAGACUGCAACCAAGGAAGAAGAGCCCUGUGAAUACUUCUGUAGCAGCCAUUUCCCAGCCCU